rnacentral:rRNA from 1 species
UACGGGGGGGGCAAGCGUUGUUCGGAAUUACUGGGCGUAAAGCGCGCGUAGGCGGCUUUGUAAGUUAGAGGUGAAAGCCCGGGGCUCAACCCCGGAACUGCCUUUAAGACUGCAUCGCUUGAAUCCGGGAGAGGUGAGUGGAAUUCCGAGUGUAGAGGUGAAAUUCGUAGAUAUUCGGAAGAACACCAGUGGCGAAGGCGGCUCACUGGACCGGUAUUGACGCUGAGGUGCGAAAGCGUGGGGAGCAAACAGG